UACAGAGGGUGCGAGCGUUAAUCGGAAUUACUGGGCGUAAAGCGCGCGUAGGCGGCUUUUCAAGUCGAUUGUGAAAUCCCCGGGCUUAACCUGGGAACUGCAGUCGAGACUGUCUAGCUAGAGUAUGGGAGAGGGAAGUGGAAUUUCAGGUGUAGCGGUGAAAUGCGUAGAUAUCUGAAGGAACAUCAGUGGCGAAAGCGGGUCUCUGGGCCGAUACUGACGCUGAGGAGCGAAAGCGUGGGGAGCGAACAGG
rnacentral:rRNA from 1 species